rfam:Schistosoma haematobium scaffold924_2, whole genome shotgun sequence.
AUCCAACUGACGAGUCCCAAAUAGAACGAAAUGAGAAUCUUAGGU